NGACGAAAUCGGGAGCACGCAAAGACAAUCCGCAGCUGCAACCCUAAACCCUCAAAAUAUACAUUUUGUAUUAAAUUAAAAAUUGAAAAUAAAAGAUUAUAGAAAUUUUAAAAAAAUGCCCUGUUUGAGUUGAAUCAUCUGUUUCGGUUGUGGCCGAAUUAGCUCCGAAAUCGUUCCCAAUUUCGGACGCUCACGACUGAAGGAAUGCGUCACAGGUACUGGGAUGGACAGGGGAGCAGUUGAGAGGCGACCUCCUACCAAUGGAGAAAGGCGAGGCCGAGAGACACCUUCGAGACGGCUUCGGACACGAGAUGUGUGGAACGAGCGCUGCCGAACUUCUGCCCGAUGGAGUGGAGUGCCCUGCGAGCGAGAGCGAGAGAAAGAGAAAGGGGAGAGCGCGAGAUGACGAGAGGCGAGGGAGCGAGAGAAAGCGAGGAAGCGAGAGAGAGCGAGAAACAGAGAUAGCGAGAGGAGCUGUGCGGGAGAGAGAAGUGUAGUAGGGUUUAAUUUAAGUUAGCUUUAGCAAGAUGUAAAAAAGGUGUGAGGUUAGAAGCUACUGUGCUAGUGGGUUAAUAUCAGCCAUUGGAUCUGAUAGUUGUAGGAUAUACACCUUCCUAUAGGAGUACAGGUAGACUUUUCCU
rnacentral:lncRNA from 1 species